GACAGAGGGUGCAAACGUUGCUCGGAAUCACUGGGCGUAAAGGGCGUGUAGGCGGGCAGGUAAGUCGGGCGUGAAAUCCCUGAGCUCAACUCAGGAACUGCACUCGAAACUACUUGUCUUGAGUACCGGAGAGGAAAGCGGAAUACCUGGUGUAGCGGUGAAAUGCGUAGAUAUCAAGAGGAACACCUGAGGUGAAGACGGGUUGCUGGGCUGACACUGACGCUGAGGCGCGAAAGCCAGGGGAGCAAACGGG
rnacentral:rRNA from 1 species